rnacentral:rRNA from 1 species
AUGAAUGAACAACUUUCAUUAAUCAACUGGAACGUGAGAGGCCUGAAUGAUAGGGCACGCCGUGCAGCGGUUCGUGCCUUGGUUCAAGAUUCUUGCUGCUCCAUUGUUUGCAUACAAGAGUCCAAACUCUCUGCCACAUCCACAAGGGACCGAGGUGAGAUCGUGGGGUCACGUUUCGACGAGCACGCAGCUCUUGACGCUGAUGGAACGAGGGGGGGGGGGAAUUCUGCUCUGCUGGCGGUCGGAUUGCUGCUCUGUAAGCAACAUCGCCGUCAAAAACUUCUCAAUUACUGCUACAUUCACCCCAACUGGAGGCGGGCAAGCAUGGGCAUUGACCACGGUCUAUGGCCCCCACGAUGA